ACCGCCCAUCUAAUCCAUCAACACCAGUAAUCAGCAGAGCUUCCUGUGGCAUCAGCAAAGUCAUGACAGCAUCUCAUUCUCUCUCUGUAUGUCUCUCCAGGUCCUUUAUAAUCAUGCUGACCUUCGGUGACCCUGUAGCUGCGGAGCAUUGUGUCAGAAUCCAGGGCAUGUGAAGGUCAAGGUAAUGAAAUAAAGAACUACAAAACCUUCGCUGUUCAGAGAUGGAGGGGCUCUUUUUUAAGAGUUAUAACCUCAGCAGAAAACCAGGAUUAAUAGCACCCAUUCACUUUCGUUCUGUAGUAAAGAGCAGCUUGGACUUCAUGCAAAAUAUAUGAUGGAUGCAAUCGAACACCACAAGGACAAACAGAGUCAGAGAGAGAAUUCGACAGAACCUUGACUCCGGACCCCUGGGAUGCCCUCCUGCUGAAGAUGUGAGACUGUGAGGUUAUUUUAAGCAGCACAUUGGACCUCAUUCUGAAUGCAAAGAGAGCCUAGGGGUAAAGAGACGAGGUGAGAGGACAAUGCCAGCGGUUGAGUAGAAUAACAUUUCAGAAGGGAGUUUAAAAGCAGCUUUUUCCAGCUCAGUUUGCCACUGCAGGCCCAUUGACCAGAAUCAUUUCCAACCUUUUUGACAUUCACAGUUA
ensembl:lncRNA